rnacentral:lncRNA from 1 species
GUGCCUCUUGCGCGAAGGGUUGGCCAUUCCUCUGAAUGCCAAUGUCAGAUGCCCGCUCCUCCGAGCGACUCCUUUUCCCUACAUCUCCAUGCCUGUUUUCUCCCAAACGGUCGCGCGUGUGCUGACUGCCCUCAACGCAGCCCCGCUAGGUCCCCCACGUUUGCAUGCUAAGUGUUUCUAUAAGUGCUUGUCCCGCUCUGAUAC